CCUUCGAUAGCUCAGUUGGUAGAGCGGUAGACUGUAGUUGUACAAUCAUAUAAACAAAUGGAUAUCCAUAGGUCGCUGGUUCAAAUCCGGCUCGAAGGA
rnacentral:tRNA from 1 species